rnacentral:misc_RNA from 1 species
AAAACACCCCCACAUAGUCAUUGAUUGAAUUUAAGUUAACUGUGGAAUUUAAGAUGAGUAUAAUGGUGGAUGGAAGCUUUUUACUUGUGGAAAUUUCAGACUAGUAAUUCUUAUGGAGACUAUUAUGUAAUGUGUUUGAAAUCAUUGGAUAUCGUUCUUCUCGCUGCUGUUUAACCUUCACAUUUCUGUUUUUAUGGGUACAAACCUUUCUUUGCGAGCAUCUAUUUCAUAUUACAUUUUUUUGGUGAAGGCCCUUCCCCCCCCUGAUGUCAUGCAUUUAUUUGUCAAUCAGGGAAACUUG